rnacentral:lncRNA from 1 species
GGCUGCAGAACACGGGAGCAAGGGCAGGGCAGGGUUCAGAGGGGAGGGUGCUAAAGCCCAUGCUCCACACCAGUGCUCUCCAGCUUGUGCUCACAGGGAGUCCUGGGGUGGCAGACAUCUCUGAGCUGAUUCCUCCCUGGUUACAGCUGCUGGGUUCCUGAGCAGGUGGGACUGCAGAUCAGGUCACUGGGCCCAUUCAGCAGAAUUAUAAAUAGCAGCUUAUGCCCAGCCUGCCCCAGAGAACAGCCACAGCCACCACAGGGCUCAGGGCCCCGUCCUCCACUCCUGAAGCCAUCCCUUUGAGACAAGGCCUGCCCCUCCCCUGCAUAGCCAGUGGGUUCCCAGGAAGGGGUUGUCAUCUGCUUGCUGUCCCUCAUUCCCAGCCCAGCUCAGAGCCCCUCUGCCUUUUCCUGCUUGGGGCCUGGCCUUGCACCUGUCAGCAGUGUGAGGGAGAAGACUCCCAUGGAGGUUUCCUUAGAGAAUGCUGAAGAGGAGGCAUCCAGAAGGCCUCCUCUCAUCCCCAGCCUACGUUCCUAUACCUGGCUCUCUGCUACCCCAGAACCCUACAUUCCAC